CCUACGGGCGGCAGCAGUGAGGAAUAUUGGUCAAUGGACGGAAGUCUGAACCAGCCAAGCCGCGUGAAGGAAGACGGCCCUAUGGGUUGUAAACUUCUUUUGUAUGGGAAUAAAAUGUUCCACGUGUGUUAUUUUGUAUGUACCAUAUGAAUAAGGAUCGGCUAACUCCGUGCCAGCAGCCGCGGUAAUACGGAGGAUCCGAGCGUUAUCCGGAUUUAUUGGGUUUAAAGGGUGCGUAGGUGGAUUGUUAAGUCAGUGGUGAAAUUUUGGUGCUUAACCGGAAAAUUGCAGUUGAUACUGUCAGUCUGGAGAGCAGUAGAGGUAGGCGGAAUUCAUGGUGUAGCGGUGAAAUGCUUAGAUAUCACGAAGAACUCCGAUUGCGAAGGCAGCUUACUGGACUGUAACUGACGUUGAGGCUCGAAAGUGUGGGGAGCAAACAGGAUUAGAUACCCGAGUAGUC
rnacentral:rRNA from 1 species